UGGGGGUUACUGAGCAAAGGAUCUUAAUACCCAACACACAGCAAUACACUUACUCUCAAGACAGUUUGCAGCUACUUGCCUGUCUAAUUCCACUCUAUGCCAGCAGCUAUACCCUCCAGAUCUCUGCACAGCAAGGAACAAACCACUACACCACAGAUUGCAAUUUAAAAGAAAAUAAAGCAUAAUCACAUGGUAUAGAAAUUAUAAUGGAUGAUUUCAUAAAUCAGGAGUAAACCACCGAAAACUAAAGCCUUGCUGUGCAUGCAUUGAUCUUGUAUUGGUUGAUUGGCACUCGCUGACACAAGCAGAGCAGAGUGAUGUCAGUAAUGAAAUACUGCCAUUAAACAUUUAAAGAAGAAGAAAUCACUGUGAUCUUAUGAUUGAUCAGAGCUGCACUGUAUGAAGACAGAGUAGAGAUGGAUCUAAGAGAUGGCAUAUGUUGGUUGCUGCUUGCACUUGCCCUAUAUAAG